ensembl:snRNA U6 U6 spliceosomal RNA
GUGCUUGCUUUGGCAGCAUAUAUACUAAAUUUGGAACAAUACAGAGAAGAUUAGCAUG